GUUAGAAAAACGAAGAAAAAAAGAACAAAAAGAAGCAAAAAAAGCAUUGAGUGUCUCCGGGCAUUAGGCUCAAAUUAGGGCAUAACCCUUACCGGAGGCAGAGAACCUAUGGGAAGAAGAAAAAUCGAGAUUAGGCGAAUCGAGAACAAAAGCAGUCGACAAGUCACUUUCUCCAAACGACGCAAUGGUCUCAUCGGCAAAGCUCGACAGCUUUCGAUUCUCAGUAUGAAUCUUCCGUCGCCGUUGUCGUCGUCUCUGCCUCCGGAAAACUCUACAACUCUUCCUCCGGUUACGAGAUCUUGCGGAAAAAACUUGGAAUUAUCUUGCACACAAGGAGUUAUCAGACCGCCUUUUCUCUCCCUCUUUUUCUGAUAUAAAUUACUUUUUUUCUUUUCUCAAUUAAUGAAUAGAGAAAGCUUGAAGAACCAAAUGACGAUAAUAUAAUUGUUGAUUUUCUAAUUUCUCUGGAGGAACAGCUCGGGGCUGCUCUGUCCGUAAGUAGCUAGGAAGACAGAACUGAUGAUGGCGUGUGUGAAGUCCCUUCAAGAAAAGGAUAAGUUGCUGAGAGAAGAGAACCAGGUUCUGGCUAGCCAGGUAA